rnacentral:rRNA from 1 species
AUUGAACGCUGGCGGUAUGCUUAACACAUGCAAGUCGAACGAUGAGAAAGAGCUUGCUCUUUCGAUUAGUGGCGGACGGGUGCGUAACGCGUAGGAAUCUACCUAUUAGUGGGGGACAACUUAGGGAAACUUAAGCUAAUACCGCAUACGCCCUACGGGGGAAAGAAGGGGAUCGCAAGACCUUUUGCUAAUAGAUGAGCCUGAGUAGGAUUAGCUAGUUGGUGGGGUAAAGCUCACCAAGGCGACGAUCCUUAACUGGUUUGAGAGAAUGAUCAGUCACACUGGAACUGAGACACGGUCCAGGCUCCUACGGGAGGCAGCAGUGGGGAAUAUUGGACAAUGGGCGAAAGCCUGAUCCAGCAAUACCGCGUGUGUGAAGAAGGCCUUAGGGUUGUAAAGCACUUUCAAUUGGAAGGAAAACCUCGAAGCUAAUACCUUCGAGUUUGACAUUACCUUUAGAAGAAGCACCGGCUAACUCCGUGCCAGCCGCCGCCGUAA